GUGGGGAAUAUUGCACAAUGGGCGCAAGCCUGAUGCAGCAACGCCGCGUGAGUGAAGAAGGUCUUCGGAUCGUAAAACUCUGUCCUUAGGGAAGAAACAAAUGACGGUACCUAAGGAGGAAGCCCCGGCUAACUACGUGCCAGCAGCCGCGGUAAUACGUAGGGGGCGAGCGUUAUCCGGAAUUAUUGGGCGUAAAGAGUACGUAGGUGAUUUUGUAAGCGUGGAGUGAAAGACCGAGGCUUAACUUCGGUUAGCCUUGCGAACUGCAAGACUUGAGUGCAGGAGAGGAAAGUGGAAUUCCUAGUGUAGCGGUGAAAUGCGUAGAUAUUAGGAGGAACAUCAGUGGCGAAGGCGACUUUCUGGACUGUAACUGACACUGAGGUACGAAAGCGUGGGUAGCAAACAGGAUUAGAUACCCUAGUAGUCC
rnacentral:rRNA from 1 species